rnacentral:tRNA from 1 species
GGGAGGAAGCUCAGUCUGCUGAGAGAGCUGGCUUAAAACCAGCAGGUGUUUGGGUUCAAAUCCCACUGCUCCCC